CUUCGGGAAACGGAGCUAAUACCGGAUAAUAUUUUGAACCGCAUGGUUCAAAAGUGAAAGACGGUCUUGCUGUCACUUAUAGAUGGAUCCGCGCUGCAUUAGCUAGUUGGUAAGGUAACGGCUUACCAAGGCAACGAUGCAUAGCCGACCUGAGAGGGUGAUCGGCCACACUGGAACUGAGACACGGUCCAG
rnacentral:rRNA from 1 species